rnacentral:rRNA from 1 species
CCUACGGGUGGCAGCAGUCGAGAAUCAUUGACAAUGGGGGAAACCCUGAUGGUGCGACGCCGCGUGGGGGAAUGAAGGUCUUCGGAUUGUAAACCCCUGUCAUGUGGGAGCAAAUUAAAAAGAUAGUACCACAAGAGGAAGAGACGGCUAACUCGGUGCCAGCAGCCGCGGGAAUACAGCGGUCUUAAGCGUUGUUCGGAAUGACUGGGCGUAAAGGGUGCGUAGGCGGGUUCGUAAGUCGUGUGUGAAAGGCGCGGGCUCAACCCGCGGACGGCACAUGAUACUGCGAGACUAGAGUAGUGGAGGGGGAAGCGGAAUUCGCGGUGUAGCAGUGAAAUGCGUAGAUAUCGAGAAGAACACUGGUGGCGAAGGCGGGUUCCUGGACAUUAACUGACGCUGAGGCACGAAGGCCAGGGGAGCGAAAGGGAUUAGAUACCCGUGUAGUC